GUCUACGGCCAUGCUACCCUGAACAAGCCCGAUCUCGUCUGAUCUCGGAAGCUAAACAGGGUCAGGCUGGUUAGUACAUGGAUGAGAACCCACCUAGGAAGACCGGGUGCUGCAGGCA
rnacentral:rRNA from 1 species